rnacentral:rRNA from 1 species
GACGAACGCUGGCGGCGUGCUUAACACAUGCAAGUCGAGCGGUAAGGCCCUUUCGGGGGUACACGAGCGGCGAACGGGUGAGUAACACGUGGGUGACCUGCCCUCAGCUCUGGGAUAAGCCUGGGAAACCGGGUCUAAUACUGGAUAUGACUCCAUGACGCAUGUUGUGGGGUGGAAAGCCUUGUGCGGCUGAGGAUGGGCCCGCGGCCUAUCAGCUAGUUGGUGGGGUAACGGCCACCAAGGCUAUGACGGGUAGCUGGUCUGAGAGGACGAUCAGCCACACUGGGACUGAGACACGGCCCAGACUCCUACGGGAGGCAGCAGUUGGGAAUAUUGGGCAAUGGGCGCAAGCCUGACCCAGCGACACCGCGUGGGGACGGAGGCCUCCGGGUUGUAAACCCCUGUCAUGAGGGACGAAGCCGAAAGGUGACGGUACCUCAAGAGGAAGCCCCGGCUAACUACGUGCCAGCAGCCGCGGUAAU